UACGGGGGGGGGCAAGCGUUGUUCGGAAUUACUGGGCGAAAAGGGCGCGUAGGCGGCCUUCUAAGUCGGACGUGAAAUCCCUCGGCUUAACCGAGGAACUGCGUCCGAUACUGAAAGGCUUGAAUCCGGGAGAGGGAUGUGGAAUUCCAGGUGUAGCGGUGAAAUGCGUAGAUAUCUGGAGGAACACCGGUGGCGAAGGCGGCAUCCUGGACCGGUAUUGACGCUGAGGCGCGAAAGCUAGGGGAGCAAACGGG
rnacentral:rRNA from 1 species